rnacentral:rRNA from 1 species
AGAGUUUGAUCCUGGCUCAGGACGAACGCUGGCGGCGUGCCUAACACAUGCAAGUCGAACGAAGCUUGACGAACGAUUCUUCGGAUGAAUUCUGAUAUGACUGAGUGGCGGACGGGUGAGUAACGCGUGAGCAACCUGCCCUUCAGAGGGGGAUAGCGUCUGGAAACGGACGGUAAUACCGCAUAAUAUAUAUUGGUGGCAUCAUUGAUAUAUCAAAGCUAUUGCGCUGAAGGAUGGGCCCGCGUCUGAUUAGAUAGUUGGUGGGGUAACGGCCUACCAAGUCGACGAUCAGUAGCCGGACUGAGAGGUUGAACGGCCACAUUGGGACUGAGACACGGACCAAACUCCUACGGGAGGCAGCAGUGAGGAAUAUUGGUCAAUGGGCGGAAGCCUGAACCAGCCAAGUCGCGUGAGGGAAGACGGCCCUAUGGGUUGUAAACCUCUUUUGCCGGGGAGCAAAAGCGCCGUGCGCGGUGCUAUGAGAGUACCCGGAGAAAAAGCAUCGGCUAACUCCGUGCCAGCAGCCGUGGUAAUACGUAGGUUGCAAGCGUUGUCCGGAUUUACUGGGUGUAAAGGGCGUGUAGGCGGAGAUGCAAGUUGGGAGUGAAAUCCCGGGGCUCAACCCCGGAACUGCUCUCAAAACUGUAUCCCUUGAGUAUCGGAGAGGCAAGCGGAAUUCCUAGUGUAGCGGUGAAAUGCGUAGAUAUUAGGAGGAACACCAGUGGCGAAGGCGGCUUGCUGGACGACAACUGACGCUGAGGCGCGAAAGCGUGGGGAGCAAACAGGAUUAGAUACCCUGGUAGUCCACGCUGUAAACGAUGAAUACUAGGUGUGGGAGGACUGACCCCUUCCGUGCCGCAGUUAACACAAUAAGUAUUCCACCUGGGGAGUACGACCGCAAGGUUGAAACUCAAAGGAAUUGACGGGGGCCCGCACAAGCAGUGGAUUAUGUGGUUUAAUUCGACGCAACGCGAAGAACCUUACCAGGACUUGACAUCCAACUAACGAAGUAGAGAUACAUUAGGUGCCCUUCGGGGAAAGUUGAGACAGGUGGUGCAUGGUUGUCGUCAGCUCGUGUCGUGAGAUGUUGGGUUAAGUCCCGCAACGAGCGCAACCCCUAUUGUUAGUUGCUACGAAAGAGCACUCUAGCGAGACUGCCGUUGACAAAACGGAGGAAGGCGGGGAUGACGUCAAAUCAUCAUGCCCCUUAUGUCCUGGGCUACACACGUAAUACAAUGGUGGUAAACAGAGGGAAGCAAAGCCGCGAGGUAGAGCAAAACCCUAAAAACGGUCUCAGUUCGGAUUGAAGGCUGAAAUUCGCCUUCAUGAAGCUGGAAUUGCUAGUAGUGACAGGUCAGCAUACUGCCGUGAAUACGUUCCCGGG